UCCUACGUAGACUAAACAAAAGGGAAACGAUAGCGUUUAAUCAAUGGCUCGACUUCUUCUUCGUCGUCGUGAUACCAUGGAUCGACUGUUCUGCUGAAUGCCUGAUUUCUUCUUCUUCGGCGCUGUUUAUACCAUGGUCCGACUGUGUUGCUGAUCCUAGCCAUGGCUCUCUUUACCAAUCUGAGCAGAUCCGACGAUGAUGUUAGCCCCAUCGAUGGUCGAUCGGUUGUGGUGGAUUUCUUCUUCUUCCAUCCACCAGAAUAUGUUCAUCAGAUCCGACGAUGAUGGGUUUCUUCUUUUUCUACUUUUCGUUCCCAUAAAUUGGAGGAGAUCCGAGGGAGAAAAAUAUGAGUGCUCCGGUGAAAGAGGAGAGCUAUUUUUGUGUGGUAAAAAGCUGUGUAACAUUUGUAAUUCUAGAGAUGAUAAGGUAGUAGGUAGAGAACAUAAUUUGUAUUCGAUUUUGUGUGUCACAUUUUGUUUUCAAGGAACUGAGUGUAUUUUAACCGAGUUUUAUCGGCUAAGAAUCUUAGCCUAAGAUGUCAUCAAGUUAGACCAGUGGCCGAGUUUCAAGUCCUACAUCUUACGAGACGCAACACAGAAUGUGUUCCUUAUGUAAGUUUUCUUCUCACAGUGGUUCCAUCUCUAGGUUUAUUAUGAUUUUCAAAUUAGUAUUAGUUAGCGAAGUUAUUUUCGUGUUGUGGACAAGUCAGGCUAGGCCUUUAGCUGUUCAACAUUUUUUGAAGUUUCUGAUCGUUAGAUAGUUUUAGCCAAAGUUUUGUAUUAGACGUUAUGUUGACGCAGUUAGUAUCUUAUAAUGUAUAUUGUGCUCCUAAAUAUUUUUGUAAUCAUGAACUGGCCAGGAGAAGUUGUUUUCUCCAGUAAUUAAGUAUUGCAUAUGAACUUGCAAACCGAUUGUGUUACAUACGGCUGCGAGUCUCUCAGACCCUACAUUCUCUUUCGGAUCAGAACCUCUCUUUGAACAUGUAAGGAGUCUCAAUUGAUCUGAAGGUGUUAAGGUAGAGAGAUAUAGAAGCGCUUGCUAAACCAUGAGCUGAGCUUAAGAGUUCAUCUUAGAUAUGUUUCUUGCUAACUUUUGCACUGAUAUUUAAGUAUCUUCCUAAUCUCUUUGUUGCACUAAACCUGCUCUUGAGGCGACCAAUCUCCGUAAAUUCCAACUAAAGUCGCAGUAGAAGCACAGGUGGUUAUGAGAGGCUCAUUAAAAUCCAAGAUUUGUGUGUGGUUAUAAAUUUCUACAUGAGAAACAUUCGCAAGUUCCAUAAACACACUGAACAUUUUGAAAAUUGUUUUAUUGAUUUUUCAUUCUCUUUAACAUUAUUAUCUUGAGGUUUGAGUUUUUUAUCAUUGGAAUAUUCUUUGUCUUUUGCUGCUGUUUGCACAGUCUAUUCUCACAAACUUAUUGUCCUCAAGGUCAGAAACCGUUGUCUUUUCUGAAGUACUAUUGACAGCAUGAGGCCAUCGUGUUGAGACCUGGAAGGCUGGCUAUUGUGGUGACAGUGAAGUUGAUCAGAAAUGGUUUCACGGUGAAACUUUCACCUCAGUGUUUCUGGGUUUGUAUAAUGCAUGUAAAGUGAAGAUUGUGGCUUGUGUCGGAUCUCUGCAAAGUAUGCCGAAGAGGAAGAUUUGUUGGUGAGAUAAAAGAUGAGGAAAAAACACAGUAGUCUAGAAUUGGGUCCCGAUCAGAAUUAACCAACAAUGCUGAUGAACGGUAAUAGCAAAUUUAGAAGCAUAUAAAAGCAAAUGUGAUCUUGCAACUGAUGUCCACUUAAAUUAUAUCUUCUACUUGGUUGA